rnacentral:rRNA from 1 species
GACAGAGGGUGCAAACGUUGUUCGGAAUUACUGGGCGUAAAGCGCGUGUAGGCGGCUGCGCAAGUCGGGUGUGAAAGCCCUGGGCUCAACCCAGGAAGUGCACUCGAAACUGCGUAGCUGGAGUCUCGGAGAGGGAGGCGGAAUUCUGGGUGUAGCGGUGAAAUGCUUAGAUAUGCCAUAGAACACCGAUUGCGAAGGCAGCUUGCUGGACCUGUAUUGACGCUGAGGCACGAAAGCGUGGGGAGCAAACAGG